rnacentral:rRNA from 1 species
UACAGAGGUCCCAAGCGUUGUUCGGAUUCACUGGGCGUAAAGGGUGCGUAGGCGGUCGGGUAAGUCUGACGUGAAAUCUUCAAGCUCAACUUGGAAACUGCGUCGGAUACUAUUCGGCUAGAGGAAUGGAGGGGAGACUGGAAUACUUGGUGUAGCAGUGAAAUGCGUAGAUAUCAAGUGGAACACCAGUGGCGAAGGCGAGUCUCUGGACAUUUCCUGACGCUGAGGCACGAAAGCCAGGGGAGCGAACAGG